GAUGAACGCUGGCGGCGUGCUUAACACAUGCAAGUCGAACGGAGUUUAUAAGUGGAAGUCUUCGGAUGGAAACUUAUGAACUUAGUGGCGGACGGGUGAGUAACGCGUGGGUAACCUGCCUUACACAGGGGGAUAACAGCCGGAAACGGCUGCUAAUACCGCAUAAGCGCACAGUGCUGCAUGGCACCGUGUGAAAAGAUUUAUCGGUGUAAGAUGGACCCGCGUCUGAUUAGCUAGUUGGUGGGGUAACGGCCUACCAAGGCAACGAUCAGUAGCCGGCUUGAGAGAGUGAACGGCCACAUUGGGACUGAGACACGGCCCAAACUCCUACGGGAGGCAGCAGUGGGGAAUAUUGCACAAUGGGGGAAAGCCUGAGGCAGCGACGCCGCGUGCGGGAAGAAGGCCCUCGGGUUGUAAACCGCUUUCAGGAGGGACGAAGCCACUCGGGUUAAUAGCCUAGAGGGUGACGGUACCUCCAGAAGAAGCCCCGGCUAACUACGUGCCAGCAGCCGCAGUAA
rnacentral:rRNA from 1 species